rnacentral:lncRNA from 1 species
CUGUCAUCAGCUGUUCAUACUACUGCAUCUUCAUACAAAUGAUUUGUGAAGCAUGGUGUGGUUAUGAAGACUUUAUGUCUGCUUUAUAAAGCCUUUGAAAUCUAAUGAGAACCUGAAAAGUCCCUGUUGUAGCCUAGGUCACUAGUGUUAACCUGUGUGGGUCUGUGUAGUCUGGCCCGCCAGUGGACAGUGGAGGAUGAAGAGGAAGUGGAAAGGGAGAGGAGGAGGAAGGAGAGGAGCUAUAGCAGCACUGACCCCGACAAUGACCUUUCACCUGAAAACGACCUUUCUCCCCGACACACCCCCGGAAACCAACCCACCAAUGACAACGCUCCAAGCAUCACCAGUGCGGAGCUGCUCCAGCUGGACUUUGAGGAGAUGCUCAGUGUUCGAGACGAGAGGAGGAGGAACAGACACAUAGAGACUCUCAGACGACAGAAAGGAGAGGAGGAGGGGAGAGAUGGAGGCGAGGAGGGGAGAGAGGGAGGGGAGGAGGGGAGAGUGGAGCUAUUGGGGGAUGUGGAAGAAGGGGGGAGACAGACACCUCCAAUAGACACCACCAUCCAACCUUCACCCUCAACCCCACCCUCAUCCAUAUCUUCACCCAUACCCUCAACCCCUACCAACCCUUUAGACAGACAGCAGCAGAAUGGUUCUCAGGACCCAGGCCCAGACUCCAAACCUCCCUUCAAGUUUGUCAGUUCUCUGUCCAUCUCCUUUGAUAAGAGUCCCUCCCCCAGCGGGCAUACAAGUCCCAUGAGCCCCCUUUCUCCCACAACGCCGCUGUCCCCCACUAGAGGAGCUCAGAGCCCCACCCACUACGGACACACAGAGGGCAGUGUGGAUGGAUCCUCAGUUAGUUUGGAGCAGACCGCCAGACCAGCCUUCGCCAGACAGAGCUCUAGGACCGUCUCCUUCAGGAUGCUGAGGAAGAAAGAGGAGGAAAGCGUGCCUUUACAGAGGAGGUAACAGACACACACACACACACACAUUAGAUAAGCCCAAGCCCUACCCAUGCCCAUGACAUUCACCAUUGCCCGGUUGCUUCUGCCAAAUGUAAGGCCAUGUUUGAGAUAUUCUGAAAGACUGAAUGACUGGCCAUCAAGUGCAUGUCGUCACUUCCUGUUGAACGCGGAACGAGAGAGAGCUCGCUUUGUUGUUUUGAAAGUCUCUGUGUGUUCUAAAGAAGUGUUCUAUUGAAAAAGUUUGGUUACUAGCUAGCUACCUUUUGAGUUUGGAUCCCGCAACGCGAUUGGCAUCAGUUGCUGGGACCGCUACUAUCUGUCCUGCCGACCAAAGCUGGGUUUGAGGAGCUGCUUGGCGUAGUAGCUAGCCUAGCUGCCACUGUUAGCUGUUUAUCAAGCUAGAGGGGUUUCCUUGAGGGCUUGAAUGCAGCCCGGGCUUGUGGCUGUUCGGAU